GGCAACCUCAUCCCCGAUUGGAGCAACGUCUGCGGCUGAGGCAUUUGAAGGAGGACCCCCUCCAGCUGUUGCACAAGGCGUGGAGGCACUCGGGGGGUCCUCCAUGAAGUUUGGCUCGGGGGCCUCAACCGCAGGUGGCGCAGACGCCAAUGGAAUUGCUUGGACUGGUGAGGCAGGAGCUGGUGGGGGUGGCAAUGUUGGAGGCGGAGCAGGUGUAGAUGGCGGUGUUGAUGUUGGAAGAGGGGGUGGAGCAGGUGGUGAGGAAGGUGCCACCCUCUUCCUCUUCGUGACAAGGCCAUCUUCAGUAGCCUCGUCGUCUUCCUCUUCCUCCUUGUGGACUACUUGGGGGGCUUUCCUCUUGGAUCUCCUGAGGACAAGCUUUUGGC
rnacentral:lncRNA from 1 species